rnacentral:rRNA from 1 species
CCUACGGGUGGCAGCAGUGGGGAAUUUUGCGCAAUGCUCGUAAGAGUGACGCAGCGACGCCGCGUGAAUGACGAAGGCCUUCGGGUCGUAAAGUUCUUUCUACAGGGAAGAAAAUGCCUAUAAGUAACUGUUUAUGUAUUGACGGUACCUGUAUAAGCAGCACCGGCUAACUCCGUGCCAGCAGCCUCGUUAAUACGGAGGGGGCGAGCGUUGUUCGGAUUGACUGGGCGUAAAGAGCACGUAGGCGGGGUUGUAAGUCAUUAGUCAAAGACUAGAGCGAAACUUUAGUAAGGCUAGUGAUACUAUAAUACUAGAGUAUGAGAGAGGAUUGCAGAAUUCCUGGUGUAGCGGUGAAAUGCGGAGAUAUCAGGAGGAAUACCGUUAGCGAAGGCGGCAAUCUGGCUGGAAACUGACGCUGAGGUGCGAAAGCGUGGGUAGCAAACAGGAUUAGAUACCCGUGUAGUC